UUCUCAUAUUUGGUCCCUUAUUUUAAGGACUAAAGAAGUCUCAGGACCCCUUCCCAUCAAAGUAUGAGUAACUGUGAGCAGAGCUGCUGUAAAACACCAGAUGGAAAGGAAGCAGUUCAACACCAUCUUUUCUUCAUCUGCCUUGCUGUGGCACUCAGCUUCUCACUGCAUACAGGAACUUGGAAAUUCCAGGCUUCAGAUGUGGUCACAUGAAUCCUCCACUGAUUAUUACAGAUUUGCCUUCAAAUGAGCCACAGGAAUGUUUAUUUCUUAAUAAUCAACAGCAGCUUCUCUUGUAAUGUGUUUUAAUGUUUUUACAUAUCGUCUAGCAGCGUUGGUCCCAAAUUCCAGCCUUAACUGGCAGGCUGCUUCCCUUAUGGGAGUUUUCCAAUAACCAACAUUGUUUCUUACCCUUUUCAAGGACUAUGGGGAAAAGAAUCUUCUAGAGUCUUGAGAAAAGCAUGAUAAUCCAGGAUUUAUGCACAUUGAAAAUACUUUUAUUGAUUUGGCCCAACUUCCUCAUCGUGCAACUUGUCACAUCAUGACACCAUCUGAAAUGAUAAACUUUCUAGAGAAUUGUCAUGGAAAGGUCUUCUCCAACCAACCUAAGCUUAGAGUCAAACUUAAGGCAAACUUUGGGAAAGAGGCCACUUCCACUCUGUGACAGAGGGUAAUAUGGUUGGGCUUUACGUCCCCACCCAAAUCUCAUCUUGUAGUUUCCAUAAUUCCCACAUGUUGUGGGAGGGACCUGGUGGGAGAUGAAUGAAUUAUGGGGGCGGAUCUUUCCCGUGCCGUUCUUGUGAUAGUGAAUGAGGCUCAUGAAAUCUGCUGGUUUUAAAAGCAGCUUGUGCAGGGCACAAGCUUUGGCUGCUGCCAUCCACUUAAGCUGUGACUUGCUCCUUCUUGCCUUCUGCCAUGAUUGUGAGGCCUCCCCAGCCACGUGGAAUUGUAAGUUUAAUAAAUGUCAUUCUAUUGUAAAUUGUCCAGUCUCAGGUGUGUCUUUAUCAGCAGUGUGAAAACAGACUAAUACAGAGGGUUAUAAAAAUAUUACUCCCCUUUAAUAUUGCUCCCAAGGAAUUCCCUAUGGUUAAAAAAUAUAUACGAAUGAGGACAAAACAUAUACUUAUGAGCAUCAUAAUAUAUGACUAAGACUCAUCUGAUUCUCAAUGAUUUUGUUUCUGUGACUUAAAAAAAUGGUACAAGGCCCAUGAAAUGAAUCACACCUCA
rnacentral:lncRNA from 10 species